rnacentral:tRNA from 1 species
CGCGUGGCCUAACGGUUAUCGCGCUUGCCUCUCACGCAGAAGGCCGGGGUUCGAUUCCUUGCAGCGG